rnacentral:rRNA from 1 species
GAUGAACGCUGGCGGUAUGCUUAACACAUGCAAGUCGAACGGACUCUUCGGAGUUAGUGGCGGACGGGUGAGUAACGCGUGAGAAUCUGGCUUUGGGUUCGGGACAACCACUGGAAACGGUGGCUAAUACCGGAUGUGCCGAGAGGUAAAAGAGAAAUUGCCUGAAGAUGAGCUCGCGUCUGAUUAGCUAGUUGGUGAGGUAAAGGCUCACCAAGGCAGCGAUCAGUAGCUAGUCUGAGAGGAUGACCAGCCACACUGGGACUGAGACACGGCCCAGACUCCUACGGGAGGCAGCAGUGGGGAAUUUUCCGCAAUGGGCGAAAGGCUGCCGGAGCAAUACCGCGUGAGGGAAGAAGGCUCUUGGGUUGUAAACCUCUUUUCUUAGGGAAGAACAAAAUGACGGUACCUAAGGAAUCAGCAUCGGCUAACUACGUG